rnacentral:rRNA from 1 species
UCAGUCGACUCCUACGGGGAGCAGCAGUGGGGGAAUAGUUGCACAAUGGGCGCAAGCCUGAUGCAGCCAUGCCGCGUGUAUGAAGAAGGCCUUCGGGUUGUAAAGUACUUUCAGCAGUGAGGAAGGCGGAGUCGUUAAUAGCGGCCUCGUUUGACGUUAGCUGCAGAAGAAGCACCGGCUAACUCCGUGCCAGCAGCCGCGGUAAUACGGAGGGUGCGAGCGUUAAUCGGAAUUACUGGGCGUAAAGCGCAUGCAGGUGGUUUGUUAAGUCAGAUGUGAAAGCCCGGGGCUCAACCUCGGAAUUGCAUUUGAAACUGGCAGACUAGAGUACUGUAGAGGGGGGUAGGAAUUUCAGGUGUAGCGGUGAAAUGCGUAGAGAUCUGAAGGAAUACCGGUGGCGAAGGCGGCCCCCUGGACAGAUACUGACACUCAGAUGCGAAAGCGUGGGGAGCAAACAGGAUUAGAUACCCUGGUAG